rnacentral:rRNA from 1 species
GGUAGUGGGGGACAACGUUUCAAAAGGAACGCUAAUACCGCAUACGUCCUACGGGAGAAAGCAGGGGACCUUCGGGCCUUGCGCUAUCAGAUGA